UGAACGUUACGAUCCUCAGCAAGACACAUGGUCACAGAUUUGCUCUUUGGAAGUUGGCGGUGGUUAUAAAGCUUGCGUAACACUAGACAAUAGACUGUGGGCUAUUGGUGGCAAGUCUAAAUCUGCUGACAAGUCAUGUGUAUCAGUAUUUGAUGAAGAGAAUUUCUGUUGGGUAGAAAGGUGCUUAUUACCCAGAAUUGAUGUGUUAAACGGUUUUGUUGUGCCUGAAUCCUUGCUGUCGGCGAUGUGAAUAAAAAUAAUGUAAUUAUUGUUCCGUUUUUUGAUUU